GACGAACGCUGGCGGCGUGCCUAAUACAUGCAAGUCGAACGCUUCUUUCCUCCCGAGUGCUUGCACUCAAUUGGAAAGAGGAGUGGCGGACGGGUGAGUAACACGUGGGUAACCUACCCAUCAGAGGGGGAUAACACUUGGAAACAGGUGCUAAUACCGCAUAACAGUUCAUGCCGCAUGGAAUAAGAGUGAAAGGCGCGUUCGGGUGUCGCUGAUGGACGGACCCGCGGUGCAUUAGCUAGUUGGUGAGGUAACGGCUCACCAAGGCCACGAUGCAUAGCCGACCUGAGAGGGUGAUCGGCCACACUGGGACUGAGACACGGCCCAGACUCCUACGGGAGGCAGCAGUAGGGAAUCUUCGGCAAUGGACGGAAGUCUGACCGAGCAACGCCGCGUGAGUGAAGAAGGUUUUCGGAUCGUAAAACUCUGUUGUUAGAGAAGAACAAGGACGUUAGUAACUGAACGUCCCCUGACGGUAUCUAACCAGAAAGCCACGGCUAACUACGUGCCAGCCGCCGCCGUAA
rnacentral:rRNA from 1 species